GGGCCUUCUCUAGCUUUCCCCGGUUUGCUGCACUUGACGCUGCAGGGCGGGCGGGGUAAAGAAGGGAGCGAGCCCUUCUCAAGCUUGGAAAGUUUCCAGACUGCUGGGCCAGCCUCCUCCCCAGAGGGAAACUGAGGUCCGAUUGAGGUUUCUCCAAGACCGCCCACUCCUGCUCCUGUCCCCAAACCCCUUUCUGCCUAGGGUUCCUGGAAGCCAAGGAAACAGAACGAACUGUUCCCUGGGUGGGCGAGCCACUGCAGAGUACAAAGCUUUCAGGCCGCCUGCCUCAUUAGCACUAAUGGCUGCUCCCUUCCGCCCUGUGUCGUCAGGACUGUCUAUGCCUGGUCUCAUCAGCACAAGGCUGGGUAACAGCUGAAGAAGUCCCAGGAGUCCUCCCAUGUCCUCUCAGCAACCCAGGCUGGAGCCUACUCCUUGGUGUUGGCAAAGGAAACCGUCUUUGAAGGGCAACUGUUUGAAAAUGCUGCAGAAACAUGAGAAAUGUUCAUGAAGUGACCCUGUGGAGGCUUCCGGUCACAGGAUCAUGUGAGCGCCACGAUCACCCCAGGGGUGGAGCAGAUGCUAAGUGUUCACCACACCCAAUUCUCUUCCUGGACACACAGGAAGAUGACAUUUCCAGUGACAUGCCCCACCUCUAGGCCCUAGUCUUUUUUUUAUUUAAAGGUCUGAGUCUUGUUCUGUCACCCAGGCUGGAGUGCAGUGCUGUGAUCAUGACUCACUGCAGCCUCAACCUCCUGUGCUCAAACAAUCCUCCCACCUCAGCCUCCCUAAUAGCUGAUGUCAUAUAGGCAUGAGCCAGUGUGCCUGGCUCAGGCCCUACCCUUAAAAGCAUCCCACCUGAUUCACCAGCCCCCUUCUCUCUCUCAGUAAACUUGGAAACCACGCAUUCCAGAUGGUAUAAUUUACAGCAUGAUGGAAAAAGCCAGCUCUCCAUGGGAAGCUGGCCAGUCUUCAUUGGAGUACAUUUUUAUUGCAUGAAGCCAAUGAGACUUGAUAUUGUUUAACUCUGUGGUUUCCAAAGUGCGGUCCUUUUGAAGUAUCCAUAAAGUCUACACUAGGUUCACGGUAAUAUUAAGAUGUUAUUUGUCAGCUGGGCACGGUGGCUCACGCCUAUAAUCUCAGCACUUUGGGAGGCCAAGGCAAAUGGAUAAUGAGGUCAGGAGUUUCAGACCAGCCUGGCCAACAUGGUGAAACCCAGUCUCUACUAAAAAUACAAAAAUUACCUGGGUGUGGUGAUGCAUGCCUGUAAUCCCAGCUACUCAGGAGGAGGCUGAGGCAGGAGAAUUGCUUGAAUCCGGGAGGCAGAGAUUGCAGUGAGCUGAAAUCUCACCACUGCACUCCAGCCUGGGUGAUGGAGCAAGACACUGUCUCAAAAAAAAAAAAAAAGAUAUUAUUUGUCUUUCAUGAGUGUACAGUGGGAUUUUCCAGAGGCUACAUGACAUGUGUUUUUUUAUUUUGUUUUUUAUACUGACAGAGGGGUCUUGCUAUGUUGCCCAGACUGGUCUUCCAACUCCUGGCCUCAAGUGAUCCUCCCGCCUUCACCUCCCAAAGUGCUGGGAUUAUAGGUGUGAGCCACUGCGCCUGGCUGUUUGUGACAUGUGAUGUUGAAACAGGUUGAGUAUAGAAGCAGAUAUGGGAAUUAAACCAGAAUAUUAAACCAGACAUUGAAGAGAUUUGCAAAAAAUACAAAACAAUACCACUGUUUUCACUUUCUUUUUGGUUUGGAAAAAUGUAGUUAUUUUUCAUUAAAAGUAUGUUGUGUUGGCUGGGCACAGUGGCUCAUGCCUGUAAUCUCAACGCUGGGAGACUGAGGUGGGAGGAUCACUUGAGAUCAGGAGUUCGAGACCAGCCUGACCAACAUAAUGAAACCCCAUCUCUACUAACAAUAUAAAAAUUAGCUGGGCUGGCUGAGCGCGGUGGCUCACGCCUGUAAUCCCAGC
rnacentral:lncRNA from 1 species